rnacentral:sRNA from 1 species
CAUAAACAAAGACCUCCUAACUUUGUUUAGAAAUCCUAAAACUUUUUCAUAAUAAUCUCCAAAACACCGCUGUUCUAUUAUGACAGUGGUGUUU